UCGGGAGUCUUGCACAAUGGGGGGAACCCUGAUGCAGCGACGUCGCGUGUGGGAUGAAGUAUUUCGGUAUGUAAACCACUUUUGCGGGGGGCGAAAAAAAUGACGGUACCCCGCGAAUAAGCCCCGGCUAACUACGUGCCAGCAGCCGCGGUAAUACGUAGGGGGCGAGCGUUGCCCGGAUUGACUGGGCGUAAAGCGCGCGUAGGCGGUCCAUUAAGUGUGCGGUGAAAUUCGGAGGCUCAACCUCCGUCCCGCCGCGCAAACUGAUGGUCUUGAGAUUGGGAGGGGGAUGCGGAAUUCCUGGUGUAGCGGUGAAAUGCAUUGAUAUCAGGAGGAACACCGGCGGCGAAAGCGGCAUCCUGGCUUAUAUCUGACGCUGAGGCGCGAAAGCGUGGGUAGCAAACG
rnacentral:rRNA from 1 species